AACCAUCGAGCACGAGCAGGUCUCAGCGUGCACAACAGUGUCACGCGCCUCACUCGGUUUACUGCAGAAACAUGGAGCAACAAAACCCCAAAUUACCGAUUCCUCGACUGCCUUCCACAUCUCAAAAAAACAUUUAAAAGUUUAAAAGCCCUUCUUCAAAAGUGGCUGUAAGACGUUUAAGACAGUCGAGUAGAAUUUACAUUGGAGAUUGUUUUAAACGAUGGAGAGAUUUUCGUGAUCAACACGGCCUGAAAACGGAUGAAGAGUUGGCAAAGUAUCUUUUGGACAGGACAUGUGGAUCGGUCUACUCCAUCAUGUGACUGGAGAACAUGAGUGGUCUCUGGAUGCUUGUCAGCAUGAUCCUUUACUAAGUGACAGAGAGAGAGACUGGAUUCAGAAAGGCUCCACUCCACACAAAGCCCUCAGUGACAUCAUUCUCAGUGAACGCUGGCUGAAAGAAGUCCCAAAAUAUUUUAAAUUCAGAUCUACAGCAAAUUUGGAGGCAUUUCACAACCAUCUCCUAAUGUAUGCAAGCAAAAGAUUCAGCUAUAUCCCACGAGGCACGGAUACUGCUUGCUGCAUUGGUCUACAAUCACCACUCACAUCGAGAAGUGAAGAGGAGAGCAGAUGGAUCGAUACAAUACCAUAAAAUAUUCAACAAAAAAUCAAGAUGCUGGAGGCUGUAUUCUGAGAAGGUGGCAAAAGACUACUCCUACAUCCCAGCGAUCCAAACCAUGAUCGUCAACCAACGUUUGACAAGCAAGAAAGAUCUUCCUCGACGCUACAAGCUAAGGCCCGAGGAUCCAAGGCGUUACGGUUUGCUGUCCGGAGUCCCUGCACCAUCAACAGAGGAACUUCUACAACACCUACGGACUCACGGUGAUGGGAAAACUUUGCCACAGACAUAGGUGUUGGGGGAGGCAAGAGAAAACACAAAACCUUCUUUAUUUUUGUUUCCUGUGUUUUUUUUUUGUGUUUGAAAAUAAAGAUAUAUUUUGGGGAAAUAAGGACUAAUAAUUUAAAAAUGUAUGUAAAAUGCUGGAGGUAGACAUAAGUUUUUGUUGUUGUGCAGGAGUUUUAAAAUCUAUGAUAUUUUUACAAAUGCAACACAGAGUUAUGCUUUAGAACAUUUUAUUAGAGCAUCAAACAAAAAUAUAUAAAAAACAAACGUAUGUAAAAUAUCAAAUAUAUACAUUUAUUUACAAUCGCCUUGGAAUAAAACCAGUGGGGUCAGGGAAUUUUUCCCUUAUCCUCCAGACCACAGCUUGGGAUUACUACUCUGCGACCUCCACCAAGUUUUCCAUGCUGCCAUGCUACAAAUUGUCUGUAAGCUGCAUGGCGGAACUGUCUGUUGUCCUCACCAGGGUCCGGGUCAUCAUAAACCGCUCGAAACUCAUUCCACAAUGUUCUGGCCAGGCGAAGAACACCAUUUUGCAGAAUAAACUCCUCCAUGUGUGGUACAGU